AUUGAACGCUGGCGGCAGGCCUAACACAUGCAAGUCGAACGAGUGGCGGACGGGUGAGUAAUGUCUGGGAAACUGCCCGAUGGAGGGGGAUAACUACUGGAAACAGUAGCUAAUACCGCAUACCAUCGGAUGUGCCAAGAUGGGAUUAGCUAGUAGGUGGGGUAACGGCGCACCGAGGCGACGAUCCCUAGCUGGUACGAGAGGAUGACCAGCCACUCUGGAACGGAGACACGGUCCAGAAUCCUACGGGAGGGAGGAGUGGGGAAUAUUGCACAAUAGGCGCAAGCCUGAGGCAGCCAUGCCGCAUGUGUGAAGAAGGCCUUAGGGUUGUAAAGUACUUUCAGCGAGUAGGCGUUACUCGCAGAAGAAGCACCGGCUAACUCCGUGCCAGCAGCCGCGGUGAUUC
rnacentral:rRNA from 1 species